rnacentral:lncRNA from 1 species
AAGCAGAGGAUGGUGGAUGGCAGAACAAGGACUAUCAUCAAUGACAUUUUCUUCACUGAGCCCACCCCAGAAAUGAGCUCCCUUCCUGUGCGCUCUCACAGCUCCUUGUCGUUGAAUCUCGUAUCACUGAUGGUAAUUUGCAGAGGAAUAAUUAAGUUGGUGAUUCACUUUAGGAUGUACUGCCCUCCGAGGCUGAAAGCUAAACACAUAGAGCCCACGUUACGCCCAGUACCACUUAAAGAACUAAGGAUUAGUCACUGGCCCAAUGAAUGCAUCAGACACUCAGCUUCAGUUCCCAUGGCAACAGGGGCUAAUGGCCUAGAGACUAAAGAUGAGACAAAGAGAAACGCAGAGAAAUGUGCGUGUUCUGUCUUCCUCUGAGGUACGCAAGCCCCUAUUCAGGGAUUGGAAAGAACAUUCGCUUUAGUUCUACCCUGCCCUCCCCUCAAUGCUGGGUGGAGGAGGGCAGAAACGCAGACGGGCCUGACAUGAAUCCAGAAUUUCUACAUCCUCUCAAUGCACCUGCACGGUUUGGAGACAGGCUUCUUUGUCCCCGAGCCAUCAUGUUACCAACAAUGUAUUGUACCUGCAAACCAUGCCUGUGGAACCUAGGAUUCCUGCUACCCCAACUCACUUUCCUCUUUACCACCCUCUAGCCUCUAUCAUAGUAGGGGAGUUUUUUCAGUCAUUCCUAUUUUCUGACAGAAAGUUCCAGCCAGCCCAAUUUCAGAAGCGCUGUCUCGGGAGGGCUUCCUGAUCCUUCCUGCCAGAGUCACACAGGACACACCUCCUCCCUCUUCUCCUCUGUGGCCUGGGAGACCUCCGCCCAGACCAUGGGACAAGUUCCUAGGGCUCCCCCUUCCUGCCACACUCCUGUUCCGCCAGGGCCUUGGGGAGACUCAGACGAGGGAGGUUUCUGAUAGUCUCCCACUUCUGGAAGCAGCCAAACUAAUGAGAGGCCUCUUGCCUGCCCCUCUUCCUGAGAAGCCCACCACCUCCUGUGUAUUGACUCCCCUUACCAGAGGCUGGACAAACAGCGUGCCAGGCCCGACAUGAGACGUCCCACACUAUAAAUUUGUGAUAAACAACAACUCAAAAGCUGGGCAUAUGCCCCCAACUUUCCCUCCCUUCUUUCCAUUUAUUCCAGUGAGUCUCAGAAGUCCCUUUGUCCAGCUGCACUCUCCUCUCCUGGGACCCAGCUGCCCUCCAUUUCCCAUGUCCUGGAACCCCUCAGUCCAAAAUAUCUAAGUAAACUCGUCUUCACUGCAAUGUGCAACCCACACCCACAGCCGUGCCCUACGCCAGAAGGAACCACAUGAAGUUCUGCCCAUCUUCCUGACCUCCACGGAUGUUGCGUGACAUCCAGUCUCCUCUGGGUCAGGGGGUUUGUCUCAUAUGCACUCCUGAGUGCCCACCUGCCAGUGACUCCCCUGUGUUUCACACCCCUCUCGGGGGAUCUCAGAUCCACUCGGCUCCUGGUCUCUGUCUGGAUGACCACGACCAGUUUCCCUUGGAGAAGGACCAAUGGGGAAUGGCAAUGCCAGGAAGGCAACGCUUCGCUUGACUGCUCUGCUCCUUAAAUCCCCAAAAGCACCACUCACUCACAGGACUGUAGACGCUAUGCCAGUUACAGACUUCAGGGAAGGGUCAAUAGUGACUACAGGAAAUUAUAGUGGAACAAACUACUAGUGAGCGAUGGCUAAGCAUCCAUGCUGCUAGAAUCCAAAAAGAAUCACCCAUCCCCUGCCUCCCACGGAAAAGAUAAGGUCUUCUGAGGACAUUCCAUUUCCGGUGAAUUCCCAUUCAUGGCUUUUCUUCCUGUUUUGAGCACUGCCCUUUUCUCUCCCUGGAAAGAAGGAAGUCCCUCCAUUAAUCUGCUUCAUUGUAGGGAUUUCUUUAUUUCUCAGUAAUGGGAUCUGUCUAUGUCUCCACCUCCCUGUGAACAUAUGAACACCCAGAGACAACCACCAAACACUAAGGAGCUAUGAGUGUCACAUCAUAAUCCCUCACCUAGCUCUGCGCAGUGGCUCACACCUAUAACCCCAGCUAUGCAAGACACCGAGGCAGGAGGAUUGGUGAGGCCAGGAGUUGGACACGAGCCUAGUCAAUGUAGCGAGACCUCAUCUCUAAAAUUAUAAAAAUAGAAAAAAUUAGCCUUAUAUGGUGGCACGCAUCUGUGGUCCCAGCUACUCGGGAGACUCAUGCAGGAGGAUCACUUGAGCCCAGGAGUUUGAGGCUGCAGUGAGUUAUGACAGCACCACUGCACAGAGCUUUGGGAGGCUGCACUUUGAAGGCAGAAGUUCAAGACCAGCUUGGGCAUCACAGCGAGACCCCAACUGCAGAAAAAAAAUAAAAUUAAAUUUAAAAAAAUU